rnacentral:rRNA from 1 species
AACCGCAAAGGGCUCAGUAAACCAGUUUUAAUUUACUUGAGUUUUUACGUUACGUACGUGGAUACCUGUGGUAAUUCUAGAGCUAAUACAUGCAAUUAAGUCCGGACCAGAAAUGGAAAGGACGCUUUUAUUAGAUCAAAACCAUUCGCCCAACUUGUUUGGGCGUUGUUUUGGUGAAUCUAGAUAACACUUGAGAUCGUACAGUCACCGUACUGACGACAUCUCUUUCAAACGCCUGACUUAUCAGCUGUCGAUGGUAGACUCUGUGUCUACCAUGGCCCUCACGGGUAACGGGGAAUCAGGGUUCGAUUCCGGAGAGGGAGCCUGAGAAACGGCUACCACAUCCAAGGAAGGCAGCAGGCACGCAAAUUACCCACUCCCGGCACGGGGAGGUAGUGACAAAAAAUAACGAUACGGGACUCUAUUGAGGCCCCGUAAUCGGAAUGAGUACACUUUAAAUCCUUUAACAAGGAUCCAUUGGAGGGCAAGUCUGGUGCCAGCAGCCGCGGUAAUUCCAGCUCCAAUAGCGUAUAUUAAAGUUGUUGCGGUUAAAAAGCUCGUAGUUGGUUCUGCGUGCCGCGCUGUCGGUUCGCCGCCUGUCGGUGUAACUGGCAUGUCGCGGCAUGUCCUGUCGGUGGUGAACGUUAUCCCAUUGCUGCCUGAAGCUUAAUCGCUACAGUGUCAGGAAUGCGUUGAUGGCGUUUGCCGAUCUCUCCUACUCCGGUGCUCUUAAACGAGUGUCGAGGUAGGCCGACACGUUCACUUUGAACAAAUUAGAGUGCUUAAAGCAGGCUAAAAUCUCUGCCUGAAUAGUAGUGCAUGGAAUGAUAAAAUAGGACCUCGGUUCUAUUUUGUUGGUUUUAGGAAUAUGAGGUAAUGAUCAAUGUGGACUGGCGGGGGCAUUCGUAUUGCGACGUUAGAGGUGAAAUUCUUGGAUCGUCGCAGA